CAGCAGUAAAGAUGGAUGCAUCAGAUGGCAAACGGAGAGUUGCAGCUCUGUCCCUGAAGACAGCAGCAGAUGCAACUCUGUCGCCAUCUUUUGAUCCAUCAGUAUAGACAGUUGAAAAAUCUGGAUAAUUGGCUUUAAUUUCAGCAUAGUGUUGCUGAAUUAAAAGAGGAUUUGUUUUAUUUUUAUUGUGUUCACGGAGAUCAAAUAUCAUUUUUGGUUUGGGAAGUUCCCAUGGAGGACAUUUGCAAAUUUUAACUUGAGCAACAGAUUUUAAAUCAAAAGAAGCUAAAUGUGGUUUUAAACGUAUACCUAACGGAGGAAUUUUAUUUUCAUGUUUUGCAAAAAUAUCUUCAUAAAUCGGAUUAAAAACAC
rnacentral:lncRNA from 1 species